CCUACGGGAGGCAGCAGUAGGGAAUCUUCCACAAUGGACGAAAGUCUGAUGGAGCAACGCCGCGUGAGUGAUGAAGGUUUUCGGAUCGUAAAACUCUGUUGUAAGGGAAGAACAAGUACGAGAGGUAAUGCUCGUACCUUGACGGUACCUUGCGAGAAAGCCACGGCUAACUACGUGCCAGCAGCCGCGGUAAUACGUAGGUGGCAAGCGUUGUCCGGAAUUAUUGGGCGUAAGGCGCGCGCAGGCGGCCUUUUAAGUCUGAUGUGAAAGCCCCCGGCUCAACCGGGGAGGGUCAUUGGAAACUGGAAGGCUUGAGUACAGAAGAGAAGAGUGGAAUUCCAUGUGUAGCGGUGAAAUGCGUAGAGAUGUGGAGGAACACCAGUGGCGAAGGCGACUCUUUGGUCUGUAACUGACGCUGAGGCGCGAAAGCGCGGGGAGCAAACAGGAUUAGAUACCCUGGUAGUCCACGACGUAACGAUGAGUGCUAGUGGUUGGGGGUUUCCGGUCCCGUCCNCGUGCUGAGACGUACG
rnacentral:rRNA from 1 species